rnacentral:misc_RNA from 1 species
GAUGAAGAACGCAGUGAAAUGCGAUAAGUAAUGCGAAUUGCAGAAUCCGUGAGUCAUCGAAUCUUUGAACGCACAUUGCGCCCCUUGGUUAUUCCGAAGGGCAUGCCUGUUCGAGCGUCAUUAUCACCCCUCAAGCCCUGGCUUGGUGUUGGACUUUAGUUAUAGCUUUGCCUAUCAACUGGUCUCAAAGAUAGUGACGGCGCCCCAGAGGGAACCGGGUACGAGGAGCUUUUUACUAAGCAUGUAUCUGGGACGACUCUGGGCGACGGUCUUGUUAUACUUUUUACCUAAGUGUUGACCUCGGAUCAGGUAGGAAUACCCGCUGAACUUAAGCAUAUCAAUAGCGGAGGA